rnacentral:lncRNA from 1 species
CCUGCGGGGUUCUUUCCCCUUUCUUCUCUUUUUUUCUAUUUUAUUUUUCAAAGCCCUUUUCAAAUAGAAUUUUGAACACAAUUAACUUCAAUCCAAAAUCUCACAGCACAAAUAAAAAUAUGCCCCAGCAUGAAUGCAAAUUCAUGUUUCUAAACUUAUGAUGAAUUUUAAUUUGCACAAAAUUAUUUAUUUGCUAGAUUCAAAUACUCACAAAAAUACUUAAAUAAAUCAAUUUAAUUCCUAUAACUUGAAAACCAGAUUUUGGCUGUUACAAACUCUACCCC